GAUGAACGCUGGCGGCGUGCUUAACACAUGCAAGUCGAGCGGAGUUUGUAGAUGGAUUUCCUUCGGGAAUGAAGCCUACAAACUUAGCGGCGGACGGGUGCGUAACGCGUGGGUAAUCUGCCCUUGUCACUGGGAUAACACAUCGAAAGGUGUGCUAAUACCAGAUAAUAUCAAGUCAUGGCAUCAUGACUUGAUCAAAGAACCUCGGACAAGGAUGAGCCUGCGUCUGAUUAGCUAGUUGGUGGGGUAAUGGCCUACCAAGGCGACGAUCAGUAGCCGACCUGAGAGGGUGAUCGGCCACACUGGAACUGAGACACGGUCCAGACUCCUACGGGAGGCAGCAGUGGGGAAUAUUGCACAAUGGGCGCAAGCCUGAUGCAGCAACGCCGCGU
rnacentral:rRNA from 1 species